GACGAACGCUGGCGGCGUGCUUAACACAUGCAAGUCGAACGAUGAAGCCUUUCGGGGUGGAUUAGUGGCGAACGGGUGGGUAACACGUGGGCAAUCUGCCCUGUACUUUGGGAUAAGCCUUGGAAACGGGGUCUAAUACCGGAUAUCACUUACCUCCGCAUGGGGGUUUGGUUGAAAGUUACUGGCGGUACAGGAUGAGCCCGCGGCCUAUCAGCUUGUUGGGUGGGGUAGGUGGCCUACCAAGGCGACGACGGGUAGCCGGCCUGAGAGGGUGACCGGCCACACUGGGA
rnacentral:rRNA from 1 species